rnacentral:rRNA from 1 species
GUGUCAGCCGCCGCGGUAAGACGUAGGGGGCCAGCGUUGCUCGGAAUUACUGGGCGUAAAGGGUUCGUAGGCGGUGCGGCAAGUUCGGAGUGAAAUCUCCCGGCUCAACCGGGAUACUGCUUCGGAAACUGCUGUGCUCGAGUCCGGGAGAGGCGCGUGGAAUUGCAGGUGUAGCGGUGAAAUGCGUAGAUAUCUGCAGGAACACCAGAGGCGAAAGCGGCGCGCUGGACCGGUACUGACGCUGAGGAACGAAAGCUAGGGGAGCAAACAGGAUUAGAAACCCUCGUAGUCC